rnacentral:rRNA from 1 species
CCUACGGGUGGCUGCAGUGGGGAAUAUUGCACAACGGGCGCAAGCCUGAUGCAGCCAUGCCGCGUGUGUGAAGAAGGCCUUCGGGUUGUAAAGCACUUUCAGCGGGGAGGAAGGCGUUAAGGUUAAUAACCUUGGCGAUUGACGUUACCCGCAGAAGAAGCACCGGCUAACUCCGUGCCAGCAGCCGCGGUAAUACGGAGGGUGCAAGCGUUAAUCGGAAUUACUGGGCGUAAAGCGCACGCAGGCGGUCUGUCAAGUCGGAUGUGAAAUCCCCGGGCUCAACCUGGGAACUGCAUUCGAAACUGGCAGGCUAGAGUCUUGUAGAGGGGGGUAGAAUUCCAGGUGUAGCGGUGAAAUGCGUAGAGGUCUGGAGGAAUACCGGUGGCGAAGGCGGCCCCCUGGACAAAGACUGACGCUCAGGUGCGAAAGCGUGGGGAGCAAACAGGAUUAGAUACCCUUGUAGUC